UACGUAGGGUGCAAGCGUUGUCCGGAAUUAUUGGGCGUAAAGAGCUCGUAGGCGGCUUGUCGCGUCGUCCGUGAAAACCUGCAGCUCAACUGCAGGCUUGCGGUCGAUACGGGCAGGCUAGAGUUCGGUAGGGGAGACUGGAAUUCCUGGUGUAGCGGUGAAAUGCGCAGAGUAUCAGGAGGAACACCGGUGGCGAAGGCGGCAUCCUGGACCGACACUGACGCUGAGGAGCGAAAGCCAGGGAGCAAACGGG
rnacentral:rRNA from 1 species